rnacentral:rRNA from 1 species
GAUGAACGCUGGCGGCGUGCCUAAUACAUGCAAGUCGAGCGAACGGACGAGAAGCUUGCUUUUCUGAUGUUAGCGGCGGACGGGUGAGUAACACGUGGAUAACCUACCUAUAAGACUGGGAUAACUUCGGGAAACCGGAGCUAAUACCGGAUAAUAUUUUGAACCGCAUGGUUCAAAAGUGAAAGACGGUCUUGCUGUCACUUAUAGAUGGGUCCGCGCUGCAUUAGCUAGUUGGUAAGGUAACGGCUUACCAAGGCAACGAUGCAUAGCCGACCUGAGAGGGUGAUCGGCCACACUGGAACUGAGACACGGUCCAGACUCCUACGGGAGGCAGCAGUAGGGAAUCUUCCGCAAUGGGCGAAAGCCUGACGGAGCAACGCCGCGUGAGUGAUGAAGGUCUUCGGAUCGUAAAACUCUGGUAUUAGGGAAGAACAUAUGUGUAAGUAACUGUGCACAUCUUGACGGUACCUAAUCAGAAAGCCACGGCUAACUACGUG